rnacentral:rRNA from 1 species
AGUGAACGCUGGCGGUAGACCUAACACAUGCAAGUCGAACGGCAGCACAGUAAGAGCUUGCUCUUACGGGUGGCGAGUGACGGACGGGUGAGGAAUACAUCGGAAUCUACUUUUUCGUGGGUGAUAACGUAGGGAAACUUACGCUAAUACCGCAUACGACCUACGGGUGAAAGCAGGGGAUCUUCGGACCUUUCGCGAUUGAAUGAGCCGAUGUCGGAUUAGCUAGUUGGCGGGGUAAAGGCCCACCAAGGCGACGAUCCGUAGCUGGUCUGAGAGGAUGAUCAGCCACACUGGAACUGAGACACGGACCAGACUCCUACGGGAGGCAGCAGUGGGGAAUAUUGGACAAUGGGCGCAAGCCUGAUCCAGCAAUACCGCGUGGGUGAAGAAGGACUUCGGGUUGUAAAGCCCUUUUGUUGGGAAAGAAAAGCAGCAGGUUAAUACCCAGCUGUUCUGACGGUACCCAAAGAAUAAGCACCGGCUAACUUCGUG